UAAAGUGCAAUAUUCCACGUAUCAAUAGCUUCAUCGAAAGCGUUGCAUCAUAACAGACCGUCAGGCGCCCGGAUACUACUUUGGUCCAAUCCACAGUCCAUUGAUUUUUCUCGUUUAUUUAUACAAUAUUAAAAAUGGUUACCUCUCUCAUGAAUAAGUUUAGAUUGGGUCAUAUAAAAACACGGCCGCCUCCUCCAGAAAUAAUAAUUUUAACCUGAAUUUAAUUGAAGUUUUCUGCGAAUAUACAGGGUGGUUGGUAACUGGUGGUACAGGCGGAAAGGGGGUGAUUCUACGCGAAAAAAGAAGUCGAAAAUAUAGAAUAAAAAUUUUUCGUUUGAGACUUUGUUUUCAAGAAAAUCGACUUUGAAUUUUCGCUCGGUAC
rnacentral:misc_RNA from 1 species